rnacentral:rRNA from 1 species
AUGUGGAGAACUGUGGGUUGUGUGUUGGGCACGGACCGUUGCCCUAAUAGCGUUUGGCAAUAUUUUGCCUCGUGCUACACCUUUCUUCCUGAUGGGGAGAGAUUUUAUACCUUUUGCCUAGCUGCUUUGUGCUGGGCGAUGUGGAAUAGUCGCAACAAGAAAACCUUUGAGUACAAAAAAAUGAGAUCUCCUUUUGAUGUGGUUUAUUUUGCAUGCGGUUUUCUUACCUACUGGGCAGGUAUGUUGAUGGGUGAUGAUCGGGAGGCAAUGGAGCAUGGAUCUAGGAUGGCGAGGAUCAACGCUUCGAACAUGAUGAGGAUCCGCGCGACGUCAAGUGAUCCAAUGCAAGGCUGA